rnacentral:rRNA from 1 species
AACGAACGUUGGCGGCGCGCCUAACACAUGCAAGUCGCACGAGAAAGGGAGCAAUCCCCGGUACAGUGGCGCACGGGUGAGUAACACGUGGAUAACUUUCCCUCGAGCGGGGGAUAACCUUCCGAAAGGAGGGCUAAUACCGCAUAAGACCACGGCUGGUUCGCCAGCUGAGGUUAAAGCAGGCCUCUUCAUGAAAGCUUGCACUCGAGGCUGGGUCCGCGGCCCAUCAGCUAGUUGGUGGUGUAAUGGACCACCAAGGCUAAGACGGGUAACUGGUCUGAGAGGAUGAUCAGUCACACUGGAACUGAGACACGGUCCAGACUCCUACGGGAGGCAGCAGUGGGGAAUCUUGCGCAAUGGACGAAAGUCUGACGCAGCGACGCCGCGUGGGUGAUGAAGGCCUUCGGGUUGUAAAGCCCUGUGGGGAGGGACGAAUAAGUCUGACCUAAUACGUCAGGCGAUGACGGUACCUCCUUAGCAAGCACCGGCUAACUCUGUGCCAGCAGCCGCCGUAAAAC